UACAGAGGUGGCAAGCGUUGUUCGGAAUUACUGGGCGUAAAGGGCGCGUAGGCGGCCAUCUAAGUCAGACGUGAAAUCCCCCGGCUCAACCUGGGAACUGCGUCUGAUACUGGGAGGCUAGAGUUUGGGAGAGGGAUGUAGAAUUCCAGGUGUAGCGGUGAAAUGCGUAGAUAUCUGGAGGAAUACCGGUGGCGAAGGCGGCAUCCUGGACCAAUACUGACGCUGAGGCGCGAAAGCUAGGGGAGCAACGGGG
rnacentral:rRNA from 1 species